CACGAGAGUGCCCUUCGGGAGCCCGAAGACAGGUGCUGCAUGGCUGUCGUCAGCUCGUGUCGUGAGAUGUCGGGUUAAGUCCCGCAACGAGCGCCAACCCCUAUCUCUAGUUGCCAGCGAUUCGUCGGGGACUCUAGAGAUACUGCCCCGGUUAACGGGGAGGAAGGUGGGGAUGACGUCAAGUCCUCAUGGCCCUUAUGCCCAGGGCUACACACGUGCUACAAUGGCCGGUACAAAGAGUUGCGAUACCGCGAGGUGGAGCUAAUCUCAUAAAGCCGGUCUCAGUUCGGAUUGGAGUCUGCAACUCGACUCCAUGAAGUUGGAAUCGCUAGUAAUCGCGGAUCAGCAUGCCGCGGUCGAAUACGUUCCCGGGCCUU
rnacentral:rRNA from 1 species